rnacentral:rRNA from 1 species
UACGAAGGGGGGCUAGCGUUGCUCGGAAUCACUGGGCGUAAAGGGUGCGUAGGCGGGUCUUUAAGUCAGGGGUGAAAUCCUGGAGCUCAACUCCAGAACUGCCUUUGAUACUGCGGAGCUUGAGUACAGAUGAGGUAGGCGGAAUUGACGGUGUAGCGGUGAAAUGCUUAGAUAUCGUCAAGAACACCUAUAGCGAAGGCAGCUUACUAGGCUGUAACUGACGCUGAGGCACGAAAGUGUGGGGGAUCAAACAGG